AAGUCGUAACAAGGUUUCCGUAGGUGAACCUGCGGAAGGAUCAUUAACACGUAUCCAACGUUAAACCCCCCGUGCACACAGCGACCUGCUCCCCUCAAUUUCGGUCUUUUGGCAAUCCCUGGUAAAUCAUCGCCGAACAGUUUUGAUUCAGGGACAUCCAAAGGGCCGGGGUAGGGUAUUAAAGUAGUAGUCAAUGCAAAGCAACCUGGUUUCUUUGAAGCAGAAAGUGUGAUGGCGUGAGCCGGAGAACGGACCGAGUGGUAGUUCAAAGGUGCCUUCUGUCGCGCACUGUGGAAAGGAAGACGCUUUACGAGUGACCGGUUCCCCUAGACUCCAUAUUCACCACCACAGUCGCAGGCGAGGUAGGGAAUACGUCCCUACCACCAAAUAAAUACUUGAACAACUGUUAACAAUGGAUAUCUUGGUUCUC
rnacentral:misc_RNA from 1 species